ensembl:lncRNA
GUGCGGGAAAGUGAGGGUCGCGCGGGUCCCCACGGCCCCUGAGUAGCUUGGGGCGCCCCGGUGCGGGACCCCGGGUCCCCUUACCGCAGAGCAGCACCAGCAGCAGCGAGAGAAGUUGAGGGCGCCAAAGCACUACUCGCGUCUCCAUGGCUGGUCGGCUGCGGCGCGGUUCGGCUGGGUCCGGGCUGGGCACGCUGGGGGCGCCCGGAGGCGGGGCCCAGACGGGGUUGGGGCCACGGAGAGCCCGCCCCCAGGACGCGCCCCCACUACGCUCCCUCGCCCAGGACAGGCUCCCCCUGAGGACGCGCCUCUCGCACUCCUCCCCAGGGCGCGCCCUCCCCGGCAGGAUGCUCUCGCUGAGAUGAGCCAUCCCUCCCGCUGCGGGGGUGCGGCCCGCGGCGACCGCGGCUGGGCAGGCGAGGUGCGGGCUGGGGGACGGUGGGGUGAGAGUGGGGGGCGGCCUGGCAGGGAGUGGACGGGGUUGCGGCAACGAGGGGACCUUUGAGCAGAGGCGCUUAGGGAGCGGGCCCCCGAGGGACGGGAAAGUGUCUGGAAGGAGAAUGCUGUGCAGCUUCGUCAGCUCCGUGCCUGAUCCUUAGUGGACCCAGGCCCCCAGGACACCUUCCUGGGAGCUUCCUUGUGAGUGGAACAUUUACACCCUUCUGGACCAAGACCCUCCCCCCAGGCCCGGCUCCCUCUGCGCAUGGCAGGCCCAGAUCAGCAGCUCUGAUCCAGAUUUCAGAGCAGGGGAUUGUGGAAGACACAGAGACUUAGCUCCAGCCAAGCUCCGCUAUCUUCCUAGCAGAAAACCUUCAAGGAGCCUCACAUUUUCCAUCUGAAGCUAGAGAGAAUAACUGCCCUGCCUCACUCCCAUGUCAGAGCCCCACCACCCUGAGCAAGCGGCUUCCAUGUCAGGAAAGUGAGGUCAGACACUACCUUCUCCAGUGGGCCUGCUGGCAGCUCCCUGAGAAUCCUCUCUAUCCCCUCCUCACCCCUGCCUGGGCCACAGUCUGCCUGGUGGGAGAAUGAGCAGAUAUGCUCAUUGAGGAGGGGCCUCUUCAGCUCCUGGGACCCCAUGCCAGGUACUCCAAGAAACACAGGCAUCAAGUGAGCACGAGACCCUCAGGAACUAUGACUUAUAGCAAUUUGUAAGCAGAAUUGAAGCAUUUACCUUUUUCUCCCUAUCUGAUCCCUCCAGAAUUUGAAAACUCUUGAUGAAUGAUCCAAAAGACCCAGAGAGAAUUCGAAUUAAAGAACCAGACACUCUCAGAUGUUCCUCUGCAUCAUCUCUAUAGUGGAGACUGAAUCCUAUUAAAAUACUGGAAACACAAGCACCCAGAAGAUCAAUUUCAUCUCUGCUGAAUGGGACCAUACAAGCAAUGCCACAGGAAACAGGAAUCAUGCCAUAGAAGAACAUCACAACAGGAUCACCCAAACCUUGGCUGGCUUCAUACUCUAGACACUGACUUCUCCAAAUGGACAAGUGAACCUCUAAUAGAUCUCAAGUUGCUGUACAGAAGACGGUCCCCUAAAACAGGAAGCAGCUGGAGCGGUCUUCAUCCCCAUUCCCCAAGAUUGACGAAUGAUCAAAAGAGAAGGGGGAUUGAAACUGAAGAUGAAGGAGUUAAAAUUUCCCUGGAUUAGGGUGAAACUGUGCCUUGUACCCACAAGGUUAACGUGGGAAACAAAAUAACCAAAGUUUCUGAGCUUGCCUUGCAGAACAGCAGGAGGACCACUGAUAAGAGAGGAACUUGCUGACAGCCCCCUGCCUGACUAAGCAUCUUGGAGGAACAUUGAGAAGCUAAAAUGACUGAUUGCAAACUUUAGAUGUCAAAGACUAAAGACUAAAAAGCCACCACUUGAAACAUGUAGAACAGACAGUCACACCUGUGCAGAGGACACUUAGAACUUCAGCCCAGAAGGCCACAUGCCCCCCUCCCCUACCUAAAACCCCGAACAAAAACCCUUGCUUGUAGCUUUUUGGAAGUUCAAAAUUACAGUGUUAGCUGCCCAUUCCCCUUACUCAGUGCUUUGCAAUAAAAUUCCUACUUUCUUCCACUACACCCAGUGUCAGAGAUUGGCUUGCUGCACAACGAGUGAGUGAAGUCACUUCAGGUUCAAUAUCAAGGAUAUAAGCCCUCUGGCUGCAAAGGAUUCACACAACAAAACCCCAAGUCAAAAUCCCCCCAAGAAAAAGGAGCCGUCAUUCUGCCCAAAGGGGAUCAUGGCCAGUCAAACAACAUCAGUCAUCUCCCCUCAAAGUGCCAUCCCCAGGGCUCUUCCUCACCUAUGCCAAUGUCAUGUCACAUUGAGGGUGCCAUUAGGUCAUUCUCUCAGUUAGUUAGGACUGAGGGGAAAUGGGGCUUCAGUUUGUGCUCCCAACCAGGUACACACCCUGUCCCAGUGCCACACACCACGGAGGGCAAGAGGAUGAGGGCUGGGGAUGCCCACAGAGGUCACCAGAACCUUGGCAGGAUUCAGAGUUGGCCCAGGCCCGCCCUCCCCCUGCUGAGCUUGGAGGGGAGAGCUCCGUGUUCUCUGCUCCUCUCUCAGGGCAUCUUCAUGCCCACUCUGUGCACUUAGCAAGACCGACUUCUUCUUGGAAUCCACUAGCUCCUCCACACUUAGCCCUUGGGGCCCUCCUCCUCCGGGUCUGCUCCUCUGGCCUCUGCACCUUCUGUCUCCAUCCAGCUCUGCCCCCGACUUCACCCACCAAGAUCCAGCUCUUCCUCCACUCCUCCAUGUCUGGCUCAGGGCCCUCCCUGGGUCCAGGCCCUCUGCUCUCACGUCUUGUGGCCCCAACUCCUCACCCCCCAGCUUGGGAACUGGAACAUUGAGUCCCUGGAACAGAACUGUCUUUGCUGAAAUUAGUGAAACUGCCAGGUGGUAUGAGUAGCCUGUCUGCAGAGAGACAGAACCCAAAUGCCAGUCCUCUCUCCUGCCUAGCUGCAGGCUGCCCCCGUCUCUGUGUGACACAUCAUUUCUCUUUUUGCUGCAUAAACUGCUUUUUAAUUUUUUAAAUUAGAGUCACAUAAAAUAAUAUAACAGAGAAGAUGCCUAAAUUUUUUUAAUUAAUUUGUUACGAUCAUUCUACCACUUAGUAAUUGUAAAACCCCUUUCUGAAGUUAAAGUAACGCUUGAUGAUUGCAACAAAGAAGACAGAGUCAGUGUGCCAGGCGAACACUCUCUGCAACGCAGUGAAGAAGGAAGUGCACGUUCUUUUCUGUUCUCCUUUUCAGUCGGUCCCACGCCCAAAGGUAAAUUUUCUUUUUUUUGUAUGGUACUAAUUCUUCCAUAACAAAGAUACAAUCUCUGAUGGCUGAACAGCAUUCCUCUGUGCGGCACUGGCUUUCAUCAACCCCACCUUAGAGUUUCCCCAUAACAAACAAGGCGUUACUGUCAUCACAGUGCAGUCUUUGCACAGUCCCGUGCAUUGUACACAUUCCUAGGAUAAAAUGCAGUUACAUUAAUUAAUAAGCAUCAUGUACAUUCCCAGAGUAGAAUGCUGCAGCCACGAAGGCAGCACACACACAGUUCGGUUGGCUGGCUUCCUGUGGAAGUGAGGCCCUGCAUUCCCACAUUCCUGCUACCUGCAGCCACACAGCCCACAUGGCCGCACGGGCAUCAAGUCCAGAUGAGUGGACUCUGCCCGGGUCCUUUUCCUUCCACACACAGCCUUUCCCAAAAUUCUCUCAGUCAUGUGUUCCCCGUGACCACAGCAGCUCCUCAAAUGGCUCAAGCGUCACCUAUGUAGCAGUCAGGACAGACACAGAUGGGGAGAGCAGUUAUAGUCAUGGAAAUGAAGGACAGAUGAAGGACAGCCAGCCAGGGAUGUCCCAGGGUGUGCCCUCUCACCUGUGGUUCCAGGUGCGUUGGCCUUCCAGGACAUGGCCGUGUCCUGGGAGCUGGAUGGGGAGCCGGGGGGCAGCGGAGCUUGGCCACCUCGAGACCCUGUCUCUUGUGCGAGAUGAGUAGGGGGAGCUCUGGGGAAGACUCAGGUGGAGUCAAUACUCGAUGUUUUAUUUUAUUGCUUCUUUUCCAGUCACUUCACUGGCUGUUUUCAGGGUCUUUCUCUGUUUCUGUUACCUUCAAAAAGCAGCUAUUCCGUGUUGGCUGAACGACGCUUUGCCACACCAGGUUCUCUGCUUCCCCUGCAGUCCCACAGGAAUGUUUCAGGGCUAGAACUGGAGCCCAGUGUCCCCAGUGUCCCCACACACACGCACAGGGCCAGGACUCUUGCCAGCCUCCCGCGCUUGUCUCUGUCUCCUCUGCACCCACUCCAAAUGGGGUCACCGUCCAUAGCAGGGCUGUCCAUUAGACCUAUAGUGUGGGCGACACAGGUCGUGGUAAAUCUGGUGGCCAAAUAGGAAAAUGUAAAACAAACAGGUGAAAUUUUAUUUUUAGCAAGACAUCUUAU